rnacentral:rRNA from 1 species
UGCAGUCGAGCGGUAACAGAGAGUAGCUUGCUCCUUUGCUGACGAGCGGCGGACGGGUGAGUAGUGCUUGGGAACGUGCCUUGAGGUGGGGGACAACAGUUGGAAACGACUGCUAAUACCGCAUAAUGUCUACGGACCAAAGGGGGCUUCGGCUCUCGCCUUUAGAUUGGCCCAAGUGGGAUUAGCUAGUUGGUGAGGUAAUGGCUCACCAAGGCGACGAUCCCUAGCUGGUUUGAGAGGAUGAUCAGCCACCCUGGGACUGAGACACGGCCCACACUCCUACGGGAGGCAGCAGUGGGGAAUAUUGCACAAUGGGCGCAAGCCUGAUGCAGCCAUGCCGCGUGUGUGAAGAAGGCCUUCGGGUUGUAAAGCACUUU